UACGUAGGGUGCAAGCGUUAAUCGGAAUUACUGGGCAUAAAGCGUGCGCAGGCGGUUCUAUAAGGCAGAUGUGAAAUCCCCGGGCUCAACCUGGGAACUGCAUUUGUGACUGUAGAGCUCGAGUGCGGCAGAGGGGGAUGGAAUUCCGCGUGUAGCAGUGAAAUGCGUAGAUAUGCGGAGGAACACCGAUGGCGAAGGCAAUCCCCUGGGCCUGCACUGACGCUCAUGCACGAAAGCGUGGGGAGCAAACAGG
rnacentral:rRNA from 1 species